CCUACGGGAGGCAGCAGUGAGGAAUAUUGGUCAAUGGGCGAGAGCCUGAACCAGCCAAGUCGCGUGAAGGAUGACGGCCCUACGGGUUGUAACCUUCUUUUGUCAGGGAGCAAUUGAGUCCAUGUGUGGGCUUAGCGAGAGUAACUGAAGAAAAAGCAUCGGCUAACUCCGUGCCAGCAGCCGCGGUAAUACGGAGGAUGCGAGCGUUAUCCGGAUUUAGUGGGUUUAAAGGGUGCGUAGGCGGAAAAUCAAGUCAGCGGUAAAAAUUCGGGGCUCAACCCCGUCGUGCCGUUGAAACUGAUGUUCUUGAGUGGGCGAGAGGUAUGCGGAAUGCGUGGUGUAGCGGUGAAAUGCAUAGAUAUCACGCAGAAGUCCGAUUGCGAAGGCAGCAUACCGGCGCACAACUGACGCUGAAGCACGAAAGCGUGGGUAGCGAACAGGAGUAGAUACCCCGGUAGUC
rnacentral:rRNA from 1 species